rnacentral:rRNA from 1 species
UACAGGGGGGGCAAGCGUUGUUCGGAAUUACUGGGCGUAAAGGGUCUGUAGGUGGCUUGCUAAGUCAGACGUGAAAUCCCUCGGCUUAACCGGGGAACUGCGUCUGAUACUGGAUGGCUUGAGUUUGGGAGAGGGAUGCGGAAUUCCAGGUGUAGCGGUGAAAUGCGUAGAUAUCUGGAGGAACACCGGUGGCGAAGGCGGCAUCCUGGACCAACACUGACGCUGAGGAGCGAAAGCCAGGGGAGCAAACGGG